rnacentral:misc_RNA from 1 species
GGAGGAAGCCCGGCAGAAGCUUCAGCUGCAGUCUAUCAGUGCGUCGUUAGCAUCACUGACCCGAGAGUCAGGGCCUAAAGUUGUGAAGGGAGACCCUGCAAAGAAGACAACAGAGACCCCCCAGGUCUCCCACCAGCACCAUUAUUCCACCCCUGUUAUCAGCGUCAGCGACAGCUCCCUCAAGUUUACUCAUGUCCUCUACAAUCUCUCCCCUGGGGAGUUGUACGAACAAGCAAUCAAGAACGAACAUGGAUCAUUCAUCACUGCGAGUGGGGCAUUGGCGACCCUCUCAGGGGCGAAGACAGGUCGGUCUCCGAGGGAUAAAAGGGUUGUCA